rnacentral:rRNA from 1 species
CAGCCGCCGCGGGAAUACGGAGGGUGCAAGCGUUAAUCGGAAUUACUGGGCGUAAAGCGUACGUAGGCGGCUUUGUAAGUUAGAGGUGAAAGCCUGGAGCUCAACUCCAGAAUUGCCUUUAAGACUGCAUCGCUUGAACGUCGGAGAGGUGAGUGGAAUUCCGAGUGUAGAGGUGAAAUUCGUAGAUAUUCGGAAGAACACCAGUGGCGAAGGCGGCUCACUGGACGACUGUUGACGCUGAGGUACGAAAGCGUGGGGAGCAAACAGGAUUAGAUACCCGAGUAGUCCCUGUCUCUUAUAC